GGAUGUGAGGGCGACCUGGCUGCGACAUCUGUCACCCUCUUGAUCGCGGUUGAUUUGCCUGGCUGCGACAUCUGUCACCCUCUUGAUCGCCAGGGUUGAUUUGGCUGAUCUGUCUGGCUAGGCGGGGGUCCCCUUCCUCCCUCACCGCUCCAUGUGCGCCCCUCCCGAAGCUGCACGCUGGGUCGAAGAGGACGACCACCCCCGAUAGAGGAGGACCAUUUCCUUGGUCAAGGGUGUAUGAGUAGCUGCGCUCCCCUGCUACAACCUCCAAACAAGCUCUCAAAAAUAUCUGAAUAAAAACACAAUUUUGGCAAUCUCAGUGGUGUGAUAUUGACAUUUUACAUUGCUUU
rfam:Heterocephalus glaber contig101180, whole genome shotgun sequence.